AUGACCUCGAUGCCGCCGCCGGCCUCGCCUCCCUCGCCUCGUCCGGCAUCACGACCGCCCCCUAGGCAAAGGCAAGCCUCGUGCCCGCCGCAAGACCGCCGUCGUGCCCAAGCUGAAGAAGAAGCUGACGCCCGAGGAGCGGGCAAGGGAAUCGGCGAAGAGAAAGGGCUGGAGGCACGCGGCGGAUGCAAGGGACCAAGCCAUCGCGGCGGCCGCGCAGCAGGAGGCCACCAACGCCCGAGUCGCGACGACAAUGAGGGAUGCGCUGAUGUUCCUAGGGUUAAACCCUGGCCAGCAUGGCCUCGUCAACACCGUUGUGGCCGCGGCCAGCACCGGCUCAUCCGCGUUUCCUCGGAUGGUGCUGCCCUAGUCGCCCUGCGUGUCGGCGAUGCAACUGAUGCCCGGUUUUCAUGUCUACCCGCAAGCCUCCCGGCUCUCGGGGAAUGCUCGCCCGAGGUUAGCGUGGUGGCUCCUUCCACGCUCGCGUCCGCGCCCAUCGACCUCAACGCCACACUGGUGGCCGGUGGCUCGUCAUCCGGAGGGGCGAGGAAACACGUGCGGCCGGUGCCAGCCGACGUGCUGCCGGGCACAGGCAACCUGUUCGACGGAAUGCCAGCCUCCGGCGACGACAACUUCAUGCAGAACAUCAUCUUUGAGGGUGGGCGGCGAUCGCUGGCGGUGCCACCGGGGCUGGCUACGAUCCUGACGAGACACAAAGACAGGACGGACGAGGGCAUGCAAGACAUGGUAUGCUAG
rnacentral:rRNA from 1 species